rnacentral:tRNA from 1 species
ACCUGGCUGGCUCAGUCAGUAGAGCAAGUGACUCUUGAUCUCAGGGUUGUGGGUUCAAGCCCCACACUGGGUG